rnacentral:miRNA from 1 species
GAUGCAAAGAGCUAUGCAACC